GACGAACGCUGGCGGCGUGCUUAACACAUGCAAGUCGAACGGUGAAGCGCCUUCCUUUUUGGUGGGUGUGGAUGAGUGGCGAACGGGUGAGUAACACGUGAGUAACCUGCCCCCUUCUUCUGGAUAACCGCAUGAAAGUGUGGCUAAUACGGGAUAUUCUGGGUCUGUCGCAUGAUGGGUCUGGGAAAGAUCUUGUUUCGGUGGGGGAUGGGCUCGCGGCCUAUCAGCUUGUUGGGGGGGUGAUGGCCUACCAAGGCGGUGACGGGUAGCCGGCCUGAGAGGAUGGACGGUCACACUGGGGCAGAGACACGGCCCAGACUCCUACGGGAGGCAGCAGGGGGGAAUGUUGCACAGUGGGCGCAAGCCUGAUGCAGCGACGCCGCGUGAGGGAUGGAGGCCUUCGGGUUGUGAACCUCUUUCGCAAGUGAAGCAGGCCUGCCUCGUUUGUGGGUGGGUUGACGGUAGCUGGAUAAGAAGCGCCGGCUAACUACGUG
rnacentral:rRNA from 1 species